UGGCUUAUUGACAGCGGAGGGAACCACGUGGUUAGGCUGCUGGGCGCCCCCGGGCCGCCCUGCGUCCCCGGAGGAUUCUCAACCCCGACGGCUCGCCCCCGUAGGAGUGUCCGCGGAGCUGCACCCCUUGCACGAUCCUCUGCACCCAGGAGCGGUGCGAGGCCAGGCUGAUGUAGACGCCGGGCCGGUUGCGCUCCGCACAGCCCUCGCCCCAGCUGAUGAUGCCGGCCAGCAGCCAGGAGCCCUCUACCUGGCACAUCAGGGGGCCUCCGGAGUCGCCCUACGGAGAGGAGGGCAGGCUCUCCAAAGAUGGUUGUGGAAAACCCGAAUCCCAGGGCUCCACCUCUGGACCUGCUGAAUGGGAGCGUGCGCAUGCAGCUCUAAGCUCUGGAUUGUCAAACAAGACCUCUGAUGCCCACAGAUGGUUAGACCCACUGGCCCAGAUGAUGUUUUCCAGACCUCCAAACUUAGUUUGCAAUUAUAUUUUACAGUUAUGGAGACUGUAUUUCCUCCUGGGAAUUUUGCCUGCAAUUACAGCGUGCUGCCACCAGGGAUGCCAUUCCCAUUUUGGAAUCUUGGGGCUGUUUUCAUAUUUAUGGCGUUCAGCUGGGCCCCACACAUGCCUCCUUCCGGCCAUUCCUAGAUCACUUAAUAUCUGUGUUGAUCUGGCUGCUGUUGCCUCAGAACACAGCGGGAGAUGCCUUUAAUUAAA